rnacentral:rRNA from 1 species
UUUAUGGAGAGUUUGAUCUUGGCUCAGGACGAACGCUGGCGGCGUGCCUAAUACAUGCAAGUCGAGCGCGGGAAGCAAGCAGAUCUCCUUCGGGGGUGAC